CAGUAGCCGCGGGAAUACGUAGGUGGCAAGCGUUGUCCGGAAUUAUUGGGCGUAAAGGGCUCGCAGGCGGUUUCUUAAGUCUGAUGUGAAAGCCCCCGGCUCAACCGGGGAGGGUCAUUGGAAACUGGGAAACUUGAGUGCAGAAGAGGAGAGUGGAAUUCCACGUGUAGCGGUGAAAUGCGUAGAGAUGUGGAGGAACACCAGUGGCGAAGGCGACUCUCUGGUCUGCAACUGACGCUGAGGAGCGAAAGCGUGGGGAGCGAACAGGAUUAGAUACCCCCGUAGUCCCUGUCUCUUAUAC
rnacentral:rRNA from 1 species